rnacentral:rRNA from 1 species
UACAGAGGUCCCAAGCGUUGUUCGGAUUCACUGGGCGUAAAGGGUGCGUAGGCGGCCGGGUAAGUCUGAUGUGAAAUCUCACAGCUUAACUGUGAAACUGCAUUGGAUACUAUCCGGCUCGAGGAAUGGAGGGGAGACUGGAAUACUUGGUGUAGCAGUGAAAUGCGUAGAUAUCAAGUGGAACACCAGUGGCGAAGGCGAGUCUCUGGACAUUUCCUGACGCUGAGGCACGAAAGCCAGGGGAGCAAACAGG